GUGAAAUUUUGAUACUAAAAAUAUUAUAAGGUACUGUAGCAGCCUAAAAUAAUUUCUUAUUUUUGCGCUACAUCUCUAGCAGAAUUUAAGCAAAUAAUGCCCAUCCCUAGUCGGUACCGCUGCAAUUUUGGUAGUACCGGGAAUGCCGUUCGAUGUGGUGGCGCAGGGUUGCCAUUUAUAUUAUUAUUUAAAUUUUUCUUUAAAUGUUAUUAAUAACUUUCCUGAAGUUUCCUUAUUUCGAGCACAGUUUGGUGCGUAUUUACUUUUUGUCGUCAGAAGAUAAUCUCUGGCAGAAUUUUAACAUUUUAUUCGGAUUUUUCGACACUUUCACCAUUUCAACCACUGGUGAAGUCCCAGGGUGGUUCUCGUCUUCUUUGAAAAGUUUUUUUGGUACAUCGUAUGUGGCGGAGAAUAGCCCUGCGAAUGUGUCCCUUACCAACUUAAGGGGAAGAUUUGACAUUUUGGGAGUUUUUUGGAGUAAUUUUUUGGAGUAGAUUUUGGGAGCAACUUUCGUUUUGAAAACGAGAAGUUUUUUGAGAACUUUUUGGACGAGUUUUUUUAAGAAGAUUUAGCAGUAGUUUUUUUUGAUCCGAUGUUUUGAGCAGUUUUUGGUUUUUAUGAAUGGUUCCGUGAAGGUUCCCUGUUGGAGGCUGGUGUGAAAUUGACGAGUUUUCCCUUUUUCCGCAAAUUUACAAGUUUUCUGAUGGUUUGAAGCAGUUACGUAAUGGAUAUGGGCCCCAGUACGACACCAAAUCAACACUGAUUGACUACAGCUUCAGAGCAAA